rnacentral:rRNA from 1 species
AAGGAUCAUUACAGAGUUCAUGCCCUCACGGGUAGAUCUCCCACCCUUGAAUAUUAUACCUUAGUUGCUUUGGCAGGCCGGGGCAACCCCCGGGGCCUCGGCCUUGGUGUGCCUGCCAGAGGAAACAAACUCUGUUUUUAGUGAUGUCUGAGUACUAUAUAAUAGUUAAAACUUUCAACAACGGAUCUCUUGGUUCUGGCAUCGAUGAAGAACGCAGCGAAAUGCGAUAAGUAAUGUGAAUUGCAGAAUUCAGUGAAUCAUCGAAUCUUUGAACGCACAUUGCGCCCCGUGGUAUCCGCGGGGCAUGCCUGUUCGAGCGUCAUUUCAACCCAUCAAGCUUCGGCUUGGUCUUGGGGCUGCGAUUCCGCAGCCUCUAAACCCAGUGGCGGUGCCUCCGAGCUCUGAGCGUAGUAAUUCUUCUCGCUAUAGGGUCUCGGUGGUGUCUUGCCAGUAACCCCCAAUUUUUUACAGGUUGACCUCGGAUCAGGUAGGGAUACCCGCUGAACUUAAGCAUAUCAAUAAGCGGAGGAAAAGAAACCAACAGGGAUUACCUCAGUAACGGCGAGUGAAGCGGUAACAGCUCAAAUUUGAAAUCUGCCGCAAGGCCGAGUUGUAAUUUGUAGAAGAUGCUUUGGGUAUGGCCCCGGUCUAAGUUCGUUGGAACACGACGUCAUAGAGGGUGAGAAUCCCGUAUGUGACUGGGUGCUUUUGCCUAUGUAAAGCUCUUUCGACGAGUCGAGUUGUUUGGGAAUGCAGCUCAAAAUGGGUGGUAUAUUUCAUCUAAAGCUAAAUAUUGGCCAGAGACCGAUAGCGCACAAGUAGAGUGAUCGAAAGAUGAAAAGCACUUUGGAAAGAGAGUUAAACAGUACGUGAAAUUGUUGAAAGGGAAGCGCUUGCAACCAGACUUGCACGCUGUUGAUCAUCCAGGCUUCUGUCUGGUGCACUCGGCAGCGUUCAGGCCAGCAUCGGUUCUGGUGGUGGGAUAAAGGCCUUGGGAAUGUAGCUUCUUUCGGGGAGUGUUAUAGCCCUCGGUGCAAUGCCGCCUAUCGGGACCGAGGACCGCGCUUCGGCUAGGAUGCUGGCGUAAUGGUUGUAAGCGACC